rnacentral:lncRNA from 1 species
CACUUUUGUCUUGUUCAUCACCUCGUCCUCCAGUGAACGCCCCCUGACCAGUUGAUUCAGAAUCAGGCCAGACUCCCAGCCUGUGGCACACCGAGGGGAAGGGCAAACAGCCAGUCCAAGUGAGUUCUAAAUUUUAAUUCAUCACCCUUUAUUUUUUACACCUGAGAGCACCUGUAAUAAAGGCUGGCAUGAAUAAACUUGGCUCUACCUUCAUGGCAUUCCCUCUGGCUUCGUUACUUCUCUCUGGAAAAUGUGAAAUUGUCUAAGCCCGUGGUAAUCAACGUUGAGCACGCGUUGGAAUCACCUGGAAAGUGUAUUAAAACACAGCUAACUGGGUUUGCACCCCCCACCCCUCCCCCGCACAGAAUUUCUCAUGCAGGAGGUUUUGGGUGGAGCUGGAGAAUAUGCAUUUCUGACAAGUUCCUGGAUGAUGCUGUUUCUGCUUGUCAGGGAAGGACCCUGGGAGAGGCCCCAGGUUCUCUCCCAGGGGAAAGGGAGAGGGAAUAUUUUGGGGCCGGGGAUGGCAAGGUCCCUUUGUGUUGCUGGACGCAGACUAAUGAGAGACAGGGUCAGUGCUGGGGUGGUAGGAAAUCUCUGUCCCUGAAAUCACGGACUGCUGGUCACGAUCAACUGGGAGCCAUGGAGAGGACACAUCAGGCCUUGCCCCUAGCGAUGCUAGAGGGCAAGAGCCAGGACCUGGAUUUUUAAGAAGCUCUGUGAAAAUUUAAUGCACAGCAAGACUUAGGACCCAUGGAGCUAUGUACGUCAAUAAUAUUUGGAAGCUUUUUAUGAGAAAAUGAUUUCUAGCAGCCUCUUAGAGCAGGAAUCUUAAAAAUCCGCCUGAGUUUUUAAGAUUAAAAUACCAACACAUACACACAAAUAAAAUACCAACACAAAUGUCCCUUCGUUGUGAAUUAUCAUGGCAGAAGGCUUCUUGUCUUUCACACAAAGAGUUUUUUCAAGGAGCAAAAGAAAAAAGGUGAAAGGUUCACGCAGUAUUCUCAGACCCUGAUAUUAUGUACUUAGAAAAUAGUUUGCCUCACUUGCCUGGACAUUUGAGACAAAAGUGUUAUUUUGAUGAUAAAUUUGGCAGGGGUCCCUGGAGAGAACCAGUGCUGCUUUCUUGAAUUUUCUAGCUGUGCAGUAGAGAUUAUCUGUGCACAUGAGUUAAUCAGUCGUCCCGUCCCCCCGCCCCCCACCCCCAGUUCAGAGCAACUGGGCGACCAAGGACAAAUGUUGCAGCUCAGAAGUAAAAAGAUGCUUUGUCUGCAACACUCAGAACUUACAGGAAGUUUCCUCCUUGCUGGGAAGGUAGACUUUGGAGCAUGAUUAUUAAAUUUCUCUUUAUCUCUCUUGUUUGACCGGUUCCCACAAACAACAUUUGCUUCCAUGAUUUAAAAGUUAUCUAAUACGGUUUCGAAAAAUGGACGCAGCAAUUCAGACGUUGAAUUUCGCGUCACAAGGCACUUGAAAAAGAAGUGCCUUGCCUUGUUCUUCCUCCUCUUCCUUCUCCCAAAGAACAAACGUCUGCGUCUCUUGCAGCUUUUUUCCUGCUCCGUCCCUGUCAUCCUUUUCCCCAGGGGGUUGUUGCUGAAAAGAGUCUCUGGGGGCUUUUUCUUAUUGUGCAGAAAGUGUCCUCCCCGUGCCCUGUGUGUGUUGGGGGGGGUGCAGGGAGGGAUGCGCUCAUUCUGCAGUUUCAUGGGGCUCCUCUCAGUGCCAGUUUGCAGCGGGCUUGGACGGGAGCCCUGGGAAGCUGGUGGGCUGGACAAUGAGGAACCCGAGCCCAGUGACCUGGCAAGCCCUCUCGGGCUCUUUGUCAUUUAUUCCAUGAAGCCCUCCUUCUCGCGGGAAAUCCUGUGGAGACCUCCAAGGAAGAACUGGGAACCUCUCCAUAAACCCUGGCCAGUGGGGUUCGUGGCCAACACUCUCCAGGGAGGCAAGAGAGCUGAUACUAAGGGCUGCCCUCCUGGGCGUGGGGAGCCUGGUCUUUAAAUGAGAAGGAAAAUGCGAGGUUUGCCUGGAAAUACUCUAGCUUUGGCCUGAGCAUGUUGACAUGAUAAAAUCUCCAUGUGACAACAGCAAGGCAGAUGGAUCUGGGUGGGGAAUGGGGGCCAGAGGAGCGAAGCCAGUCUCUGAACGGGAACUAGAGCCAACUGUAGACUCAAGCCUUUCUCUCUUUUUGGGGGGAAGGGUUUGUGACAAAGGGAGAGUUGAGGAAAUGACAGUUUUUAAGGCUAUUUGAGGGAUUAAAUACAGCUUCCCUUUGGGGUGCUUGUGCUGAGUACUUCUUUCAUAAACUUGGCACCAGUGAGAGGAUGGCUGGCUGAACGAGGUCGUCCUCCUAUCCUUUAACCCAAACCAAACUCCUCAGGACCCGCACUGGCCAGUGCAUUUAUUCAUUCCUUCUCUUCUAGAAACUCCCGCUCCUGGAGGAGCAGGUUCAUUCUUGGGCUUUCUCCACCGUGUAAAUUUACUCUGAAAAGAAAAUGGUAGCAUGCAAAGAAGGUGGCACUUCUCGUGCUCUUGCUUUCAUGGGCUGUGUGGUUGUGACACUGUGGUCUGCGACACGGUCUGUGACAUUGUGGGAGGAGCGGACUAGAAAGCCACCCUUUAAUCUGGAGCUUGUCCGCAUGGAAUAGCUUUGGCUUUUGCAGAACGACUGGUUUGAAAGGAACGUUUUAAUGGCCUGCCCUCUAGCGGCGAUCGUGUGGAACCGCUCCGGCCUGGAGCUGGAAGAGUGACUGCCUGGGUCCCUGUGGCUUUGGAGAAACUGGAGCGUGUAAAGCUGGAUGUGGCUUGCUUUGGGUGGGUAGGUGCUUUUAUUCCUUGGACGCUCCCGAAAAUGAUAGAGCUUCUUUUGGGAAGUUAGGGAGCUGACGUUAAGCGCCCUUUGCUGUCUAAGACCCGAUCUUGCUGUUGGGUCCUUUCCAGCGGAUGAGGUGGGGCGUGCAGUUUGAAGCUGGGCCCAGCCUCCUCUAGGCCCAGACCGCAUUGUGGACGGUGGGGGCGGCACUGACCUUUUACACAUUCCCCCCCUGCUCAUCCCCACUCUCCAAGGGAACUCCAGACGCUUGUGUGACCCAAGGCCCCAGAGUCCUGAUUUACGUCCUCAAUUCCACUUUAAAGCUAGCAGCUCUCCUGAAACGAUUAGACACUGCCUGUAUUUCCUCUAAAAGCCCCCGAGUGGAUCACCAGGCGGCGUUUGCCUUGAUCUGAGAAUCUGCAACUUUGGUUUUAAAGGCUCUGGGGACUCCUAGAGUGUUCCCGACAAUAACUUGUGUGUUAGGGGGUUGUUGUCGACUGAACUGCGUCUCCCCCAUAUGUGUGUGAAAUCCUGACCUCUCGGACCUCAGAAUUCAACCUCAUGUGGAAGCACGGUCUUUGCAGAUGUGAUUGAGAAGAGGUGGUACCGGGCGGGUUCCUAGUCCAGGAGACUGAUGUCCUUACCAAAAGGAGAAAGGUGGCCGCAGUGAGUCACGCAGCGAGGAUGCCCUGUGGACACGAAGGCGGAGGUCGGGUGACGCAUCUGUAAGCCAAGGAAGGCCAGGGUCUGUCAGCAAGUCACCAAAAGCUCCGAGGGAGGCACAAAACCAACUCGCCUCCAGAGGCUCCAAAAGGAACCAACCCUGCCAACACCUUGAUUUUGGACAUUUAGCCUCCAGAAAUGCCAGAGAACAGAUUUCUAUGGUUCCAGCCACCCACUCUGUGGCGUGUUGUUACAGCAGCCCUGGAAACGCACUGAGUUUGAGUGCCUCUUGCUGGUUUCAAGGCUGGAAAUGCCAGGACCAUGUGCUCCUUUUGGUGGGUCGAGUGAUCACUGUUUGCACAGGUCAUAAAAUGCCUUUAUUAUUGGCCUUUAUUAUUCGAGCGGAUGCACUUGAAUGUGGCAGGGGGUUUGCUCUCUGUAUCUGCUUUACCCUCUUUGAAAACAGCCUUGAUAAAUUUUGUGGAGCACUUAAAACAUAAGGAAUGCUUUAUUACAUUUCGAUUAAAGAUGGUCACGCUGCAAUCUGUAUUUCUUUCAAGUAAACCAUCUUAAAUGCAACUGGUUCGAGUGAUUAAAGUCAUAAAUAAAAUAGCUGAUUUCCAU